rnacentral:rRNA from 1 species
GAUGAACGCUGGCGGCGUGCCUAAUACAUGCAAGUCGAACGAACGGACGAGAAUCUUGCUUCUCUGAUGUUAGCGGCGGACGGGUUAGUAACACGUGGAUAACCUACCUAUAAGACUUGGAUAACUUCGGGAAACCGUAGCUAAUACCGGAUAAUAUUUUGAACCGCAUGGUUCAAAAGUGAAAGACGGUCUUGCUGUCACUUAUAGAUUGAUCCGCGCUGCAGUAGCUAGUUGGUAAGGUAACGGCUUACCAAGGCAACGAUGCAUAGCCGACCUGAGAGGGUGAUCGGCCACACUGGAACUGAGACACGGGCCAGAAUCCUAAGGGAGGCAGCAGUAGGGCAUCUUCCGGAAUGGGCGAAAGCCUGACGAAGGAACGCAGCGUGAGUGAUGAAGGUCUUCGGAUCGUAAAACUCUGUUAUUAGGGAAGAACAUAUGUGUAAGUAACUGUGCACAUCUUGACGGUACCUAAACAGAAAGCCACGGCUAACUACGU